AGUUUGAUCCUGGCUCAGGACGAACGCUGGCGGCGCGCCUAACACAUGCAAGUCGAACGGAGUUAAGAGGAGCUUGCUUUUCUUAACUUAGUGGCGAACGGGUGAGUAACGCGUGAGUAACCUGCCCUGGAGUGGGGGACAACAGUUGGAAACGACUGCUAAUACCGCAUAACCCCAGGGCCCGGGAUUGGGGUUAGGGGAAAGGGAUUUUUCCGGCUCCAGGAAGGACUCGGGUCCAAAUAGCUUAGUUGGUGAGGUAACGGCCCACCCAAGGGGGACGAUUGGUACCCGGACUGAGAGGUUGAACGGCCACAUUGGGAUUGAGCCACGGCCCCAGAUUCCUACGGGAGGCAGCAGUGGGGGAUAUUGCACAAUGGGGGAAACCCUGAUGCAGCGACGCCGCGUGGAGGAAGAAGGUUUUCGGAUUGUAAACUCCUGUCGUUAGGGACGAUAAUGACGGUACCUAACAAGAAAGCACCGGCUAACUACGUGCCAGCAGCCGCGGUAAAACGUAGGGUGCAAGCGUUGUCCGGAAUUACUGGGUGUAAAGGGAGCGCAGGCGGACCGGCAAGUUGGAAGUGAAAACUAUGGGCUCAACCCAUAAAUUGCUUUCAAAACUGCUGGCCUUGAGUAGUGCAGAGGUAGGUGGAAUUCCCGGUGUAGCGGUGGAAUGCGUAGAUAUCGGGAGGAACACCAGUGGCGAAGGCGACCUACUGGGCACCAACUGACGCUGAGGCUCGAAAGCAUGGGUAGCAAACAGGAUUAGAUACCCUGGUAGUCCAUGCCGUAAACGAUGAUUACUAGGUGUUGGAGGAUUGACCCCUUCAGUGCCGCAGUUAACACAAUAAGUAAUCCACCUGGGGAGUACGACCGCAAGGUUGAAACUCAAAGGAAUUGACGGGGGCCCGCACAAGCAGUGGAGUAUGUGGUUUAAUUCGAAGCAACGCGAAGAACCUUACCAGGUCUUGACAUCCGAUGCAUAGUGCAGAGAUGCAUGAAGUCCUUCGGGACAUCGAGACAGGUGGUGCAUGGUUGUCGUCAGCUCGUGUCGUGAGAUGUUGGGUUAAGUCCCGCAACGAGCGCAACCCUUAUUGCCAGUUACUACGCAAGAGGACUCUGGCGAGACUGCCGUUGACAAAACGGAGGAAGGUGGGGAUGACGUCAAAUCAUCAUGCCCUUUAUGACCUGGGCUACACACGUACUACAAUGGCGUUUAACAAAGAGAAGCAAGACCGCGAGGUGGAGCAAAACUCAAAAACAACGUCUCAGUUCAGAUUGCAGGCUGCAACUCGCCUGCAUGAAGUCGGAAUUGCUAGUAAUCGCGGAUCAGCAUGCCGCGGUGAAUACGUUCCCGGGCCUUGCACACACCGCCCGUC
rnacentral:rRNA from 1 species